rnacentral:rRNA from 1 species
UAAUAGAUAGGAACGUGUCCCGGGGAGUGGGGGAGUAACUAGCCGAAAGGUUAGCUAAUACCGCAUAUUCUCUACGGAGGAAAGCAGGGGAACCGCAAGGUCCUUGCGCUCGCGGAGUGGCCUAUCUCCGAUUAGCUAGUUGGUGAGGUAAAGGCUUACCAAGGCGACGAUCGGUAGCUGGUCUGAGAGGAUGAUCAGCCACACUGGGACUGAGACACGGCCCAG